CGGAACUCCUCACUGAGCUAAGUAGGGUGAUGAGGAGUUUUAAGUGAGCUUUUCGUGUUCUAGUGCAUACCCAGAUGGUCUAACAGUUUGACUCUGGAGGCAGCGGUGGUAAUGACAGAGUCCAAGUCUCUUCGUUCCCUGUGUUCCUGGAUUAUUCUCGUGGUGAUGUGAUCCUGCACUCAGAAGUUUGGACAGUGGCCUCCUGUUUCCCCAGCUUUCUGACUGGCAGAUACCACUCAGUUGGCAUGGACUUCAUCUUUCCCCACCUCUUACCUGCCUGAUGCUUAAGAGAGCCUUCCCCUGGGUUCCCUGGCUCCACCUAGUGUUUGGCUGUGGUCUCUGCAUCUGCUCCCAUCUGUUGCUGGAUGAAGCCUCUGUGAUGACAAUUGGGUUAAGUCCAAUUGGUAAGUCUACGAGUAU
rnacentral:lncRNA from 1 species